rnacentral:rRNA from 1 species
AGCAUGUGGAUUAAUUCGAUGCAACGCGAAAAACCUUACCUACCCUUGACAUGUACGGAAGUCCGAUGAGAGGUGGAUGUUCCCGAAAGGGAGCCGUAACACAGGUGCUGCAUGUCAGUCGUCAGCUCGUGUCGUGAGAUGUUGGGUUAAGUCCAGCAACGAGCGCAACCCUUGUCCCUAGUUGCUAAGCAAGGGCAUUCCAGGGAGACUGCCGGUGACAAACCGGAGGAAGGUGGGGAUGACGUCAA